rnacentral:rRNA from 1 species
UUUGCCCUACGGGGGGCAGCAGUCGGGAAUAUUGCGCAAUGGAGGAAACUCUGACGCAGUGACGCCGCGUAUAGGAAGAAGGUUUUCGGAUUGUAAACUAUUGUCGUUAGGGAAGAUACAAGACAGUACCUAAGGAGGAAGCCCCGGCUAACUCUGUGCCAGCAGCCGCGGUAAUACAUAGGGGGCAGGCGUUAUCCGGAUUUAUUGGGUGUAAAGGGUGCGUAGACGGAGAAACAAGUUGGUUGUGAAAUCCCUCGGCACAACUGAGGAA